rnacentral:rRNA from 1 species
AUUCUCAGUUCGGAUUGUAGGCUGAAACUCACCUACAUGAAGCUGGAGUUACUAGUAAUCGCAGAUCAGAAUGCUGCGGUGAAUGCGUUCCCGGGUCUUGUACACACCGCCCGUCACACCACGGAAGUUGGGGGCGCCCGAAGCCACUUAGCUAACCCUUUUGGGAAGCGAGUGUCGAAGGUGAAAUCAAUAACUGGGGUGAAGUCGUAACAAGGUAAC